GGUUCCAUGGUGUAGUGGUUAGCACAUUUGCUUUACACGCAGAAGGUCCUGGGUUCAAUCCCCAGUGGAACCA
rnacentral:tRNA from 2 species